UGGGGAAUAUUGGACAAUGGGCGAAAGCCUGAUCCAGCCAUGCCGCGUGUGUGAAGAAGGUCUUCGGAUUGUAAAGCACUUUAAGUUGGGAGGAAGGGCAUUAACCUAAUACGUUAGUGUUUUGACGUUACCGACAGAAUAAGCACCGGCUAACUCUGUGCCAGCAGCCGCGGUAAUACAGAGGGUGCAAGCGUUAAUCGGAAUUACUGGGCGUAAAGCGCGCGUAGGUGGUGUGUUAAGUUGGAUGGGAAAUCCCCGGGCUCAACCUGGGAACUGCAUUCAAAACUGACUGACUAGAGUAUGGUAGAGGGUGGUGGAAUUUCCUGUGUAGCGGUGAAAUGCGUAGAUAUAGGAAGGAACACCAGUGGCGAAGGCGACCACCUGGACUAAUACUGACACUGAGGUGCGAAAGCGUGGGGAGCAAACA
rnacentral:rRNA from 1 species